AGCGAACGUUAGCGGCGGGCUUAACACAUGCAAGUCGAGCGAGAAAAGGGCUUCGGCCCCCAGUAAAGCGGCGGACGGGUGAGUAACACGUAGGUAAUCUUCCCUUGAGCGGGGGACAACAGGCCGAAAGGCCUGCUAAUACCGCAUAAGUUUCUCGGGUCUCUGGAUCUGAGAAGGAAAGCUAGGCCGCAAGGUCCGGCACUCGAGGAGGAGCCUGCGUAGCAUCAGCUAGUUGGUGGGGUAAUGGCCUACCAAGGCGAAGACGCUUAGCUGGUCUGAGAGGAUGAUCAGCCACACUGAAACUGAGACACGGUUCAGACUCCUACGGGUGGCUG
rnacentral:rRNA from 1 species